rnacentral:rRNA from 1 species
UGGCAGGUACAGAGAGAAGCCAGGUGGCGACACCGAGCGGAACUCGAAAGCCUGUCUCAGUUCGGAUCGGAGUCUGCAACCCGACUCCGUGAAGCUGGAUUCGCUAGUAAUCGCGCAUCAGCCAUGGCGCGGUGAAUACGUUCCCGGGCCUUGUACACACCGCCCGUCAAGCCAUGGAAGCCGGGAGUGCCUGAAGUACGUAACCGCAAGGAUCGUCCUAGGGUAAAACUGGUAAUUGGGGCUAAGUCGUAACAAGGUAGC